UGGCAUGAAGAGGCUGUGGGCAGGC
rnacentral:piRNA from 1 species